UGUCGCCGCCGGGGCGCGGGCAGGAGUACGCGCCGACCUAUUGGGUCGGCACGGCCGGACCGCCGCCGGCCGACGACGGCC
rnacentral:tRNA from 2 species